AUCUUGGACAAUGGGGGGAACCCUGACCCAGCCAUUCCGCGUGUGCGAUGAAGGCCUGCGGGUUGUAAAGCAAUUUUGGCAGGGAAGAAAUUGCGCGGGCUAAUACCCAGCGUGGAUGACGGUACCUGACGAAUAAGAACCGGCUAACUCCGUGCCAGCAGCCGCGGUCAUACGUAGGGUGCAAGCGUUAAUCAGAAUUACUGGGCGUAAAGGGUGCGCAGGCGGCUCGGAAAGAAAGAUGUGACAUCCCAGGGCUCAACCUUGGAACUGCAUUUUUAACUACCGGGCUAGAGUGUGUCAGAGGGGGGUGGAAUUCCGCGUGUAGCAGUGAAAUGCGUAGAGAUGCGGAGGAACACCGAUGGCGAAGGCAGCUACCUGGGAUAACACUGACGCUCAGGCACGAAAGCGUGGGUAGCAAAC
rnacentral:rRNA from 1 species